rnacentral:rRNA from 1 species
AUUGAACGCUGGCGGCAGGCCUAACACAUGCAAGUCGAACGAGUGGCGGACGGGUGAGUAAUGUCUGGGCAACUGCCUGAUGGAGGGGGCUAACUACUGGAAACGGUAGCUAAUACCGCAUACCAUCGGAUGUGCCCAGAUGGGAUUAGCUAGUAGGUGGGGUAACGGCUCACCUAGGCGACGAUGCCUAGCUGGUCUGAGAGGAUGACCAGCCACACUGGAACUGAGACACGGCCCAGACUCCUACGGGAGGCAGAAGUGGGGAAUAUUGCACAAGGGGCGAAAGCCUGACGCAGCCAUGCCGCGUGUAUGAAGAAGGCCUUCGGGUCGUAAAGUACUUUUAUCGGGGAGGCGUUACCCGCAGAAGAAGCACCGGCUAACUCCGUGCCAGCCGCCGCGGUAAUUC